UACAGAGGGUGCGAGCGUUAAUCGGAAUUAUUGGGCGUAAAGCGCAUGUAGGUGGUUAUGUAAGUUUGAUGUGAAAGCCCUGGGCUUAACCUGGGAAUGGCGUUGAAAACUGCAUGACUUGAGUCGGACAGAGGGCAGUGGAAUUUCCGGUGUAGCGGUGAAAUGCGUAGAGAUCGGAAAGAACACCAGUGGCGAAGGCGGCUGCCUGGGUCCAGACUGACACUGAGGUGCGAAAGCGUGGGGAG
rnacentral:rRNA from 1 species